rnacentral:rRNA from 1 species
AACGUAGGAGACGAACGUUAUCCGGAGUUACUGGGCGUAAAGGGCGUGUAGGCGGUUUGUUAAGUCUGGCGUGAAAGCUCUCGGCUAAACCGGGAGAGGUCGUUGGAUACUGGCGAACUAGAGGAUGGUAGAGGCGUGUGGAAUUCCGGGUGUAGUGGUGAAAUGCGUAGAGAUCCGGAGGAACACCAGUGGCGAAGGCGACACGCUGGGCCAUACCUGACGCUAAAGCGCGACAGCAUGGGGAGCAAAC